UACGUAGGGUGCAAGCGUUGUCCGGAAUUAUUGGGCGUAAAGAGCUCGUAGGCGGUUUGUUGCGUCGGCUGUGAAAUCCCGAGGCUCAACCUCGGGUCUGCAGUCGAUACGAGCAAACUAGAGUGUUGCAGGGGAGACUGGAAUUCCUGGUGUAGCGGUGAAAUGCGCAGAUAUCAGGAAGAACACCCGUGGCGAAGGCGGCUCUCUGGGACGGUACUGACGCUGAGACGCGAAGCGUGGGAGCGAACAGG
rnacentral:rRNA from 1 species